AUUGAACGCUGGCGGCAGGCCUAACACAUGCAAGUCGAGCGGAUGAAGGGAGCUUGCUCCUGGAUUCAGCGGCGGACGGGUGAGUAAUGCCUAGGAAUCUGCCUGGUAGUUGGGGAUAACGUCCGGAAACGGGCGCUAAUACCGCAUACGUCCUGAGGGAGAAAGUGGGGGAUCUUCGGACCUCACGCUAUCAGAUGAGCCUAUGUCGGAUUAGCUAGUUGGUGGGGUAAAGGCCUACCAAGGCGACGAUCCGUAACUGGUCUGAGAGGAUGAUCAGUCACACUGGAACUGAGACACGGUCCAGACUCCUACGGGAGGCAGCAGUGGGGAAUAUUGGACAAUGGGCGAAAGCCUGAUCCAGCCAUGCCGCGUGUGUGAAGAAGGUCUUCGGAUUGUAAAGCACUUUAAGUUGGGAGGAAGGGCAGUAAGUUAAUACCUUGCUGUUUUGACGUUACCAACAGAAUAAGCACCGGCUAACUUCGUG
rnacentral:rRNA from 1 species